CCUACGGGAGGCUGCAGUGGGGAAUAUUGGACAAUGGGGGCAACCCUGAUCCAGCCAUGCCGCGUGUGUGAAGAAGGCCCUCGGGUUGUAAAGCACUUUCAGUGAGGAAGAACGCCUGGUGGUUAAUACCCAUCAGGAAAGACAUCACUCACAGAAGAAGCACCGGCUAACUCCGUGCCAGCAGCCGCGGUAAUACGGAGGGUGCGAGCGUUAAUCGGAAUUACUGGGCGUAAAGCGCGCGUAGGUGGCUUGAUAAGCCGGUUGUGAAAGCCCCGGGCUCAACCUGGGAACGGCAUCCGGAACUGUCAAGCUAGAGUGCAGGAGAGGAAGGUAGAAUUCCCGGUGUAGCGGUGAAAUGCGUAGAGAUCGGGAGGAAUACCAGUGGCGAAGGCGGCCUUCUGGACUGACACUGACGCUGAGGUGCGAAAGCGUGGGUAGCAAACAGGAUUAGAUACCCCUGUAGUC
rnacentral:rRNA from 1 species